GAAUUGUUAGUUCAGUUGGUUUAGAACGCUGCCUUGACAGGGCAGAGGUCACUGGUUCGAGUCCAGUACAGUUCA
rnacentral:tRNA from 1 species